rnacentral:rRNA from 1 species
AUUGAACGCUGGCGGCAUGCCUUACACAUGCAAGUCGAACGGUAACAGGUCUUCGGAUGCUGACGAGUGGCGAACGGGUGAGUAAUACAUCGGAACGUGCCUAGUAGUGGGGGAUAACUACUCGAAAGAGUGGCUAAUACCGCAUGAGAUCUACGGAUGAAAGCAGGGGAUCGCAAGACCUUGUGCUACUAGAGCGGCCGAUGGCAGAUUAGGUAGUGGGUGGGAUAAAAGCUUACCAAGCCGACGAUCUGUAGCUGGUCUGAGAGGACGAUCAGCCACACUGGGACUGAGACACGGCCCAGACUCCUACGGGAGGCAGCAGUGGGGAAUUUUGGACAAUGGGCGCAAGCCUGAUCCAGCAAUGCCGCGUGCAGGAUGAAGGCCUUCGGGUUGUAAACUGCUUUUGUACGGAACGAAAAGCCACGGGUUAAUACCCUGGGGUCAUGACGGUACCGUAAGAAUAAGCACCGGCUAACUACGUGCCAGCCGCCGCCGUAA